rnacentral:rRNA from 1 species
UACGUAGGGUGCGAGCGUUAAUCGGAAUUACUGGGCGUAAAGCGCACGCAGGCGGUCUGUUAAGUCAGAUGUGAAAUCCCCGGGCUCAACCCGGGAACUGCAUUUGAAACUGGCAGGCUUGAGUCUCGUAGAGGGGGGUGGAAUUCCAGGUGUAGCGGUGAAAUGCGUAGAGAUCUGGAGGAAUACCGGUGGCGAAGGCGGCCCCCUGGACGAAGACUGACGCUCAGGUGCGAAAGCGUGGGGAGCAAACAGG